AACGGGUGAGGAACACGUGAGGAAUCUGCCUUUCACUUCGGGAUAACUCCGGGAAACCGGGGCUAAUACCGGAUAUUUUCAACUGGCGGCAUCGCCGGUUGAAGAAAGUUUUCGGUGAAAGAUGACCUCGCGGCUAUCAGCUUGUUGGUGAGGUAAUGGCUCACCAGGGCAACGACGGGUAGCCGGCCUGAGAGGGCGACGGCCACACUGGGACUGAGACACGGCCCAGACUCCUACGGGAGGCAGCAGUGGGGAAUAUUGGGCAAUGGAGGAAACUCUGACCCAGCGACGCCGCGUGAGGGAUGAAGGCCUUCGGGUUGUAAACCUCUUUCAGCAGGGAAUAAGCGAAAGUGAAGGUACCUGCAGAAGAAGCACCGGCUAACUAUGUGCCAGCAGCCGCGGUAAUACAUAGGGUGCAAGCGUUGUCCGGAAUUAUUGGGCGUGAAGAGCUCGUAGGUGGUCGAUCACGUCGGAUGUGAAAAUCUGAGGCUUAACCUCAGACCUGCAUUCGAUACGGGUUGACUGGAGUGUGGUAGGGGAGACUGGAAUUCCUGGUGUAGCGGUGGAAUGCGCAGAUAUCAGGAGGAACACCGAUGGCGAAGGCAGGUCUCUGGGCCAUUACUGACACUGAGGAGCGAAAGCAUGGGGAGCGAACAGGAUUAGAUACCCUGGUAGUCCACGCCGUAAACGGUGGGCGCUAGUUGUGGGAACCUUCCACGGUUUCUGCGACGCAGCUAACGCAUUAAGCGCCCCGCCUGGGGAGUACGGUCGCAAGACUAAAACUCAAAGAAAUUGACGGGGCCCCGCACAAGCAGCGGAGCAUGCGGCUUAAUUCGACGCAACGCGAAGAACCUUACCAAGGCUUGACAUAUACAGGAAUACGGCAGAGAUGUCGUAGCCGCAAGGUCUGUAUACAGGUGGUGCAUGGUUGUCGUCAGCUCGUGUCGUGAGAUGUUGGGUUAAGUCCCGCAACGAGCGCAACCCUCGUCCUGUGUUACCAGCAUUUAGUUGGGGACUCACAGGAGACUGCCGGGGUCAACUCGGAGGAAGGUGGGGAUGACGUCAAAUCAUCAUGCCCCUUAUGUCUUGGGCUGCACGCAUGCUACAAUGGCUGGUACAAGGGCUGCGAUACCGCAAGGUGGAGCGAAUCCCAGAAAGCCAGUCUCAGUUCGGAUUGGGGUCUAAAC
rnacentral:rRNA from 1 species